rnacentral:tRNA from 1 species
GGGGGUGUAGCUCAGUUGGGAGAGCGAUUGCAUGGCAUGCAAGAGGUCAGGGGUUCGACCCCCCUCACCUCCA